UAAUCCUUUAAUGAUAGUCCCGUGAGGCUAAGAAGGUUGUGAAUAGUAAUUACGAUGCAUGCGUGCAAAGUUAGUUACUAAUUGGUUUCGUCUAUAUCCAGACGAAAGAAUACGAGCAUGUUCACUCCUGCCUUACAUUAGGCAGGAGUUUUUUUAU
rfam:Enterococcus italicus DSM 15952 genomic scaffold SCAFFOLD1, whole genome shotgun sequence.